rnacentral:rRNA from 1 species
UACAGAGGGGGGCAAGCGUUUUAUUCGGAAUUAUUGGGCGUAAAGGCGCGUAGGCGGCCUGGCAAGUGGAAGGUGAAAUCCCUCGGCUUAACCGAGGAACUGCCUCCCAAACUGCUUGGCUUGAGACCGGGGAGAGGUGAGUGGAAUUCCCAGUGUAGCGGCGAAAAAUGCGUAGAUAUUUGGGGAGGGAAACACCCAGUGGG